GUCGCUCAGUGGAGGCCGGGCGCCACCUGCUGGCCGGCGUGAGGACCGCGGCUCGCCGCUCUGUCCUGGUGGGCCUCGGGGCCUGGGCGCUGCGACCCAGGAACACGGCGGGGCGAGCGCCAGGGCAAUGCAACUUCCAAAACUGACACGGUCGCGGAAGGUCGCGUCUCUAGCGCGUGGACAGUCAUUUCCACCUGCCGCUCUCAUCUUUUUACCACCUCAGAACCGGGGUGGGACCCCCUUGGCAAAUUCACACCCACUAGUGACACUAGAUGCUGUCCUGGAUUUUGAAAAAAGUUCAGACAGGAUGCUGGACCUUAAAGAGAUGGACAUUGGAGCGUGGGGGUAGAUAAACUGCGGUCAGAAGAAGGCAGGCCAGGUCGCUUUCCCUUCUCUUCCCUUAAGUUUGUAUCUAAUCUUUUUUCUCAGGUUUUUCAUGACAUUAACCAGAAUCUCCAAUGUUUGUUAUUGGAAUGGGGGUGAGCGGGCGCCCUUUUCUUAUUCUAAAUCUUAAUGAAAAUAUGUCAGUUUUUCUCCGUGUGGGGAAAAACAUACAUUUGUUUAUUGAAUUUGGGGAGAACCCU
rnacentral:lncRNA from 1 species